rnacentral:rRNA from 1 species
AGCGAACGCUGGCGGUAUGCCUAACACAUGCAAGUCGAACGGCAACACAGUAAUUGCUUGCUCUUAUGGGUGGCGAGUGGCGGACGGGUGAGGAAUACAUCGGAAUCUACUUUUUCGUGGCGGAUAACUUAGCGAAACUUACGCUAAUUCCUCAUCCGACCUACUGCUGAAUGCAGGCUAUCUUCGGACCUUGCGCGCUUGAAUGAGCCGAUGUCGGAUUAGCCAGUCGGCGGGGUGAAGGCACACUAAGGCGACGAUCCGUAGCGGGUCUGCGAGGAUGAUCAGCCACAGUGGAACUGAGACAGGGUCAAGACUCAUACGGGAGGGAGCGGUAGGGAAGAUGGAACAAGGGGCGCAAGCCUGAUCCAGACGUACCGCGUGGGUGAAGAAGACGUUCGGGUUGUAAAGCUAUUUUGUUGGGAAAGAAAAGCAGCAGGUUAAGACCCAGCUGUGGUGACGGUACCGAAAGAAGAAGCACCGGCUAACUUCGUG